CCUUUCGCUGCAGGUCGGGCGGUCAGCCUCCAGAUCCGGGGCGCCGCGGAGCGAUGCGAAGUGAGCUGGAGUAGGUGCUGGGUAAGGGGACUCCGGGCUCACUCAAAACGUCUGUGACUAGCGCUAGACACUCAGAGCCCGGCAGAGAGCAGACUGCUUUCCCGCUCUGGCCCGGAUGCAGGGAGCAGGAGGAGGGGCGGGGCGGGGCGACCCUGCUCCACUCUCCGCCACUGAGCCUGCGCCGAUCCCGCCAACCACGCACGCGUAGCAGCGUCUAGGCGUGACGAAGGCCGGUGAGGAGCGCAGGCAGGAGCGUACGCACCGAGGAAAGGCAAGGGUCGGUGGAGGGGAGUCUUCUUUUGCGUUAGCUUCUCCCCGUGGGAUCUCCUAGAUUCUGUUAAACAACAGGCAGAGGAACAACUAAGUGUUUUGGGAAAGAGUCGGUUACUGAUUGUGGAUGUCAGCCUCCGCCUGGAACCGGUUCCUUAGCAUCUCAUCCGUUAUGCAUAAGGAAGAGGGGGUUACCCUGUGUGUGAGUAGCUGAGUCUUGGGUUGUAGCAAAAAUAAAUGUUAAGGGCUAUGAAUGUAGCAAUGAAUGCUAACCUCUUGGAUAUUAUUAACUCCUUGCCUUGGGGCAGCGCUCAACAGUUUGUAGAGCGAGCCCACAACAGAGCAACUAGAGACCCAAGGUCAAAUCAGGUAGGAGCGAUUUAAGUCUCCGGUUGCUAUGGCUAGUCGCUGUGUGUUCUCACUGUAUCACUAAAGCCCAAUGGGGGAAUGUAUUUCUAUGUAUUUCUUUGUAUGUGUUUCUAGUUCAAAUUCUGUUUGCUCCUACACUGGAUCAUUGGGUAACACUUGGGAAAUACAAGCUCUAGAUUUACACUACGGUAUAUAAAUACAGGGAUUAUCAGAGCAAGUGUUGUCAACACUGGAAAAAUGCCACAUCCCGUGGUGCCAAGUGUCUUGUAAAGAAUAAUUAAAUUGUAUCUAUUUUGCACCGAUUUGCACAUUGGAUGAGAAACGGCACCUGGAACAUAGAGAGAGAAAGGUUUUCCAAGUGCUUAACAAGAUUUCCCACAUUACAGACAAAGGAAACUCAAUCGUUGAUGAAGAUAUUUUUUUCCACUGGGAACAGGAUCUAGCCCAUGAAGUCCCGUGACUUACUAGUCACGAGACUUAGUUGUGCAAAAGGACAUUGCCUGUUGCAUAGAAACCACACUAGUAUUUCGAUCUCAUACUUUCUGAGAUGUGAUAAAAUACACGUCCACUGGGGUCUCUUGGUGGCUGUUUAUAAAUACAGCUGUCUAUCUGACCCUUUGUGGAGAGUUAGACUUUCCUAAAUGUUUCGUUAUUAAAUGCCUGGUAACCUGAUAUUAAUCUUACUGAAUGAUGUUGGGAGGAAAACAAUGAGUAUAUCAGUAGCCGAUAGAAAUCCAUGUGCAUUUUCCUCUCACCCCACAUCUGAGCUCCACAGUGAGCCUUCCCAAAAGUUGCAGUAGAUGACCCCUAACGCUAAAAUGAACACCUCCACUUACAUCAACUUACAGAUCUGUAAAACAGCCAUGCCUCUGACCUAUAAUCCCAGCAUUCGAGAGGCUUAGACAGGGGGAUUACCACAAGUUCCAAACUAGCUUGAGCUGCCCAGUGAGACCCUGCCUGGAAAGACAAAACAUCACACCCAAAUCUGUUUUUAUCAACAAUUGCUAGCUGUGGUCUUGGGUCUAAAGUGUUUGUCUAAACUAGACUCCUUGUCAGCCCACCGUUGAGAUAUGAAGCCAGUCAACCUGGUAGACCAGAUGUCAGCCAAGCAGGCCAGAAGAAAUGAAAAGAGUGACAGAGACAGAGUUAUAGGAAAUAAUUAUUUGAAGAGAAAAAUGCCAUAUACGCUACUGCACUGUAAAACCGUCCAUGGGAAGACGUUUAGGCUACUACCCAGAGGCCGGUGCGGCUGACUUGGCCGCUCCUCCAGGUGGGAUUGUGUAAGAGCGAAUGACUAAAUCGUGUCUCAUAGACCUUAAGGAGAAACGAUUUGUAGUAAAUAUAAUAAAUUUAUAGAGUUUUACUUGUAAUUUCCAAAUUGAUUUCAUCUGGAACAUUUCCGUCUGUUGCCUUAUUUGGAGUUUACAAUAAUCUUGAAAAGUUAUUUGAGUUUAACGAUUUAUUUAUUCUUAUUUCGUGUAUAUUGGUGUUCCACCUAAGCGUCUGAAGGAGGAUGUCAAGUCUUCUGUCACAGACAGUCGUGACCUGCCACAGAGGUCCUGGGAAUCGAACCCGGGUCCUCCAGAAGAGCAGCCAGUGCUCUUCAACCUCCGAACCACUCUCCAGUCCUCUAUCAGAAUUUGAAAUCAGAGAUUCAGAAGUUUAGGGAUACCUUGAAAGAACCGGAUUAAAUAAGAGGCUUGUUAAUUGUUCAAAUUCCUGCCUUGUCGUAAUUUUAUGACUAUGACAGAGUUGUAACUUUUAGGAAGUAAAUGUUUCUGGAAUAAGGGAAUAAAGACUACUAGCUUAAAAUUCUAA